UAAUUGUCCUUUGUUGGUAGAAAGGACUUGGCUUGUCUUUGAUGAGACCUUGGACUUGUACUUUUGGGUUGAUGCUGGAAUAAGUUAAGACUUUGAGGAAUUGUUGGAAAGACAUAAUUGUGUUUUGAGUUGUGAGAACAUGAGAUUUGGGAGGGGCUAAGGCAGAACUAAAUGGUUUGGCUAUGUCUCCACCCAAACCUUAUCUUGAAUUGUAGCUCCCAUAAUCCCCACAUGUCACAGAAGGAACCCUGGAAAAGAUAAUUGAGUCAUGUGUGCAGUUACUCCAUGCUAUUCUCCAGAUAAUAAGUUCUCAUGAGAUUUGAAGGCUUUAUAAGGAGCUUCCCC